CCCAACCCCUGUGACAUACCAAUUGUUGCCUCGGCGGAUCAGCCCGCUCCCGGUAAAACGGGACGGCCCGCCAGAGGACCCCUAAACUCUGUUUCUAUAUGUAACUUCUGAGUAAAACCAUAAAUAAAUCAAAACUUUCAACAACGGAUCUCUUGGUUCUGGCAUCGAUGAAGAACGCAGCAAAAUGCGAUAAGUAAUGUGAAUUGCAGAAUUCAGUGAAUCAUCGAAUCUUUGAACGCACAUUGCGCCCGCCAGUAUUCUGGCGGGCAUGCCUGUUCGAGCGUCAUUUCAACCCUCAAGCCCCCGGGUUUGGUGUUGGGGAUCGGCGAGCCCUUGCGGCAAGCCGGCCCCGAAAUCUAGUGGCGGUCUCGCUGCAGCUUCCAUUGCGUAGUAGUAAAACCCUCGCAACUGGUACGCGGCGCGGCCAAGCCGUUAAACCCCCAACUUCUGAAUGUUGACCUCGGAUCAGGUAGGAAUACCCGCUGAACUUAAGCAUAUCAAUAAAACG
rnacentral:rRNA from 1 species